CUGCAGACAACAAAGCCAACCAUGCGGCCUCCCCAUGGAGGGUCUGGUGUGCGACGGUGGCAACCAGUGGCCUGCUCAGUAGUGUACGUGGCCUGUUGCUUAUGUGUUGCCUUACAGGACCCUAGACACAGCU